GGAGAGGUGUCCGAGUGGUCGAAGGAGCACGAUUGGAAAUCGUGUGUACGUUUAACAAAUGUACCGAGGGUUCGAAUCCCUCUCUCUCCGCCA
rnacentral:tRNA from 1 species